GAUGAACGCUGGCGGCGUGCCUAGUACAUGCGAGUCGAGCGAACAGACGAGGAGCUUGCUCCUCUGACGUUAGCGGCGGACGGGUGAGUAACACGUGGAUAACCUACCUAUAAGACUGGGAUAACUUCGGGAAACCGGAGCUAAUACCGGAUAAUAUAUUGAACCGCAUGGUUCAAUAGUGAAAGACGGUUUUGCUGUCACUUAUAGAUGGAUCCGCGCCGCAUUAGCUAGUUGGUAAGGUAACGGCUUACCAAGGCAACGAUGCGUAGCCGACCUGAGAGGGUGAUCGGCCACACUGGAACUGAGACACGGUCCAGACUCCUACGGGAGGCAGCAGUAGGGAAUCUUCCGCAAUGGGCGAAAGCUUGACGGAGCAACGCCGCGUGAGUGAUGAAGGUCUUCGGAUCGUAAAACUCUGUUAUUAGGGAAGAACAAAUGUGUAAGUAACUAUGCACGUCUUGACGGUACCUAAUCAGAAAGCCACGGCUAACUACGUG
rnacentral:rRNA from 1 species